CACGGAUGGACGAGUGGUCUAAGCGUUAGACUUUUACUCAAGGGGUGAUUGGUUCGAGCCCAGUUGGUGG
rnacentral:tRNA from 1 species